rnacentral:lncRNA from 1 species
AACAGUAUUGUAAGAUGAGAGAGAAAGCCAAGCCACAAAUAACUGCAACAUUGAGAUUCCUUAAAUCCAGCAGUUAAUAAAGGAAAGAAUAUCCCCAGUGAGAAGUUCGAGACAGAGAAAGCAAAGGAAAUAAGAUGGGUGAACCGCAAAUGGAAAAACGGUUCCAGUGACGCAGGCUGAAAAAGGUGCUCUAGCAUGAAUAGACUGUCUUGAGACCCAGCAAUACCUCCUCAAAAAACCAUUCUUAUGGGACAAAUACCACAUGAAAGCAUUUCUGAUGCUCUUAGUUGUACCACUCAGCAUACAGAUUGGCAGCAUAUCCUGAGUCCAGGUGAAAGAAUCACAGUAUAUCAUUGAAAUGGAGAUGACAGGAAUGAAAGACAAACUAAUGUUCUACUGGGCUCACCACAUGCUAGAUGCUAUAGAAGAGAUUGAUCCCUAACAUCCGAUUCAAUACUUAUUCUUCGCAACUGAUUGCUCUGAAGUUUGGGGGGAUUUUUUUGUGGACUUCAGUAAGCACUGGG